rnacentral:rRNA from 1 species
GACGAACGCUGGCGGCGUGCUUAACACAUGCAAGUCGAACGGAAAGACCAUGCUUUUGUGGGGUGCUCGAGUGGCGAACGGGUGAGUAACACGUGAGUAACCUGCCCUUGACUUUGGGAUAACUUCAGGAAACUGGGGCUAAUACCGGAUAGGAGCUCCUGCUGCAUGUUGGUGGUUGGAAAGUUUCGGCUGUUGGGGAUGGACUCGCGGCUUAUCCGCUUGUUGGUGGGGUAGUGGCUUACCAAGGCUUUGACGGGUAGCCGGCCUGAGAGGGUACCCGGCCACAUUGGGACUGAGGUACGGCCCAGACGCCAACGUGAGGCAGCGGUGGGGAAUAUGGCACAAUGAGCGGGAGCCUGAUGCAACAACGCCGCGUGCGUGAAGACGGCCUUCGGGUUGUAAACCGCUUUCGCCUGAGACGAAGCGUUAGUGACGGUAAUGAGUAAAGAAGCACCGGCUAACUACGUG